UACGGAGGGGGCUAGCGUUGUUCGGAAUUACUGGGCGUAAAGGGCUCGUAGGCGGCCAACUAAGUCGGACGUGAAAUCCCCAGGCUCAACCUGGGAACUGCGUCCGAUACUGGAUGGCUUGAAUUCGGGAGAGGGAUGCAGAAUUCCAGGUGUAGCGGUGAAAUGCGUAGAUAUCUGGAGGAAUACCGGUGGCGAAGGCGGCAUCCUGGACCAACAUUGACGCUGAGGAGCGAAAGCUAGGGGAGCAAACAGG
rnacentral:rRNA from 1 species